GACGAACGCUGGCGGCGUGCUUAACACAUGCAAGUCGAACGGAAAGGCCCUGCUUUUGUGGGGUGCUCGAGUGGCGAACGGGUGAGUAACACGUGAGUAACCUGCCCUUGACUUUGGGAUAACUUCAGGAAACUGGGGCUAAUACCGGAUAGGAGCUCCUGCUGCAUGGUGGGGGUUGGAAAGUUUCGGCGGUUGGGGAUGGACUCGCGGCUUAUCGGCUUGUUGGUGGGGUAGUGGCUUACCAAGGCUUUGACGGGUAGCCGGCCUGAGAGGGUGACCGGCCACAUUGGGACUGAGAUACGGCCCAGACUCCUACGGGAGGCAGCAGUGGGGAAUAUUGCACAAUGGGCGGAAGCCUGAUGCAGCAACGCCGCGUGCGGGAUGACGGCCUUCGGGUUGUAAACCGCUUUCGCCUGUGACGAAGCGUGAGUGACGGUAAUGGGUAAAGAAGUACCGGCUAACUACGUG
rnacentral:rRNA from 1 species